GAUGAAGAACGCAGCGAAAUGCGAUAAGUAGUGUGAAUUGCAGAAUUCAGUGAAUCAUCGAAUCUUUGAACGCACAUUGCGCCCCUUGGUAUUCCAUGGGGCAUGCCUGUUCGAGCGUCAUUUGUACCUUCAAGCUCUGCUUGGUGUUGGGUGUUUGUCUCGCCUCUGCGUGUAGACUCGCCUCAAAAUAAUUGGCAGCCGGCGUAUUGAUUUCGGAGCGCAGUACAUCUCGCGCUUUGCACUCAUAACGACGACGUCCAAAAGUACAUUUUUGCACUCUUGACCUCGGAUCAGGUAGGGAUACCCGCUGAACUUAAGCAUAUCAAUAAGCGGAGGA
rnacentral:misc_RNA from 1 species